rnacentral:rRNA from 1 species
GAUGAACGCUGGCGGCGUGCCUAAUACAUGCAAGUCGAGCGAACAGACGAGGAGCUUGCUCCUCUGACGUUAGCGGCGGACGGGUGAGUAACACGUGUAUAACCUACCUAUAAGACUGGGAUAACUUCGGGAAACCGGAGCUAAUACCGGAUAAUAUAUUGAACCGCAUGGUUCAAUAGUGAAAGACGGUUUUGCUGUCACUUAUAGAUGGAUCCGCGCCGCAUUAGCUAGUUGGUAAGGUAACGGCUUACCAAGGCAACGAUGCGUAGCCGACCUGAGAGGGUGAUCGGCCACACUGGAACUGAGACACGGUCCAGACUCCUACGGGAGGCAGCAGUAGGGAAUCUUCCGCAAUGGGCGAAAGCCUGACGGAGCAACGCCGCGUGAAUGAUGAAGGUCUUCGGAUCGUAAAACUCUGUUAUUAGGGAAGAACAAAUGUGUAAGUAACUAUGCACGUCUUGACGGUACCUAAUCAGAAAGCCACGGCUAACUACGUG